GAACGUGCAGAAGGUAACUUUACGUUUUCUGAGGUUUGCAUUCAUCAGAACCAUCAAAUAUGCAUUUUCUUAAAGUCGCAGUGCUCCUUGUAGCAGUUCUUGCUGCAGUGUUCGGAACCAGCAUGGCCAAGGGUCAUGGUGGUGGUCAUGGUCAUGGUCAUGGAGGUGGUCAUGGAGGUGGAAAGGGUCAUGGCGGCAAAGGUCAUGGUGGUGGCCAUGGGGGCAAGGGACACGGAGGCCAUGGUGGCGGACACGGGGGCAAAGGACAUGGAGGCGGCCAUGGAGGAAAGGGGCACCAUGGAUAAACAUAGCAGCUGAAAGAUGUGUGACGAGAAAGCCCUUGUUUUUUAUUCCACUGCUGCUGGACAACGGGGAAACAACAACUCAUGUAAAACAUGAUGAUCUUGUAUUUUGUUUGACCAGACCUCUGAAUAAAAAUACACUCCAAAGUGUUAAAUCUGA
rnacentral:lncRNA from 1 species